UGCCGAUAGAUGGAAGGCAUAAUACGUGUAACCUGGUCAGGUCUGAAAAGAAGCAGCCACAUCAUGUCCCUUGUGGGUUUUCGUCUAUCGGUUUGU
rnacentral:SRP_RNA from 2 species